AGCAGCCGCGGUAAUUCCAGCUCCAAUAGCGUAUAUUAAAGUUGUUGCAGUUAAAAGCUCGUAGUUGAAUUUCGGGAUUGGCGCAUCGGUCGUGCCUCACGGGGUAUGAACUGGUGCAGUCAAUUUCUCACCUUCUGGAGAACCGCGAUGUCCUUAAUUGGAUGCCGCGGGGAACCCAGGACCUUUACUUUGAAAAAAUUAGAGUGUUUAAAGCAGGCAUUUUUGCUUGAAUACAUUAGCAUGGAAUAAUAAAAUAGGACGGCAUGGUUCUAUUUUGUUGGUUUCUAGGACCACCAUAAUGAUUAAUAGGGAUAGUUGGGGGCAUUAGUAUUCAAUUGUCAGAGGUGAAAUUCUUGGAUUUAUUGAAGACUAACUACUGCGAAAGCAUUUGCCAAGGAUGUUUUCACUAAUCAAGAACGAAAGUUAGGGGAUCGAAGACGAUCAGAUACC
rnacentral:rRNA from 1 species